rnacentral:rRNA from 1 species
GUGGGGAAUCUUAGACAAUGGGCGCAAGCCUGAUCUAGCCAUGCCGCGUGAGCGAUGAAGGCCUUAGGGUUGUAAAGCUCUUUCGUGGGGGAAGAUAAUGACUGUACCCCAAGAAGAAGCCCCGGCUAACUCCGUGCCAGCAGCCGCGGUAAUACGGAGGGGGCUAGCGUUGUUCGGAAUUACUGGGCGUAAAGCGCACGUAGGCGGACUGGAAAGUCAGGGGUGAAAUCCCGGGGCUCAACCCCGGAACUGCCCUUGAAACUCCCAGUCUUGAGUUCGAGAGAGGUGAGUGGAAUUCCGAGUGUAGAGGUGAAAUUCGUAGAUAUUCGGAGGAACACCAGUGGCGAAGGCGGCUCACUGGCUCGAUACUGACGCUGAGGUGCGAAAGCGUGGGGAGCAAACAGGAUUAGAAACCCCUGUAGUCC